UACAGAGGUCUCAAGCGUUGUUCGGAUUCAUUGGGCGUAAAGGGUGCGUAGGCGGUCGGGUAAGUCUGACGUGAAAUCUUCAAGCUUAACUUGGAAACUGCGUCGGAUACUAUUCGGCUGGAGGAAUGGAGGGGAGACUGGAAUACUUGGUGUAGCAGUGAAAUGCGUAGAUAUCAAGUGGAACACCAGUGGCGAAGGCGAGUCUCUGGACAUUUCCUGACGCUGAGGCACGAAAGCCAGGGGAGCAAACGGG
rnacentral:rRNA from 1 species